AAAUUCUGUUCCCUGCUGUCAGAGAAUUCUAUUAAGAGUAAAUCAGAAAACAAAUGGAAGAGACAGAAAGGAAAGCAAAAGGAGAAAGGAAGCAAAAAAGGAAGGAGAAAAGGAAAAAAAAAAAAGAGGAAAAAUGUUCAAGGCACUGAAAGUGGAACUUGACAUCUAAAUCUUAAGUCCCACAAGUAAGUUUAAUUCUUCCUAUUCUCCAUGCAUGCCUCCAGCCAUGAGAAUGAUUCUGUUCACUGAAAUAUUUCAGGCUCGUACAAUUCCUGCUUUUGUGUAUGACUAUGACUGCCUUGCUCUUGCCAGAGGUUAGCAUCUUGGAAACCUGUACUUCAGGCAGAUCAGGAUCUUUGUUUUCGUUCUAAGCAUUUCUCUGUCUGUGUCCUCUAGGGAGCUUGUUAUGCUUGCAACACAUAACAAAUACUCCAGAACUGGGAACCACACAAAAGAUGGUGACAGUGAUCUCUUCCAUACAAAGAUAUUGUAGGAGCAUGAGUUAAAUGUAACUGGUAGGUAUUUCACCUGCUAUAUGUAAAGUAGAAACUGUUUUCAGACUAAGAAUCAGAAAUCAUUUUUUUCAAGACUAGGUGAGUGCCCUUAUGCACUCAGCUGUAGAAGCAACACUCACUUUCCUGCUCUCUUUUUCUUGACUUUACAAUGCAAAGUGGCAUGACUUUAGAAAGGACUGUGCGGACAGAACACCGCAUCCUAACCUGGUUUGCUGAUCUCCAAAGGAAAAGGAGAUACGGACUGAAGCUCUUUUGGGAGGACAGAACCGGAACGGAGUCUGUAAUGUUCAGUGUGUAUUUAAAGAGAAUAUGUUACCAGCUGAGCAGUGCCUGAACAAUCGUCUUGCCUUUCAUAUACUGUACUUCCUCCAGAUCAGAGUGGGAGCAUCGUGGAGAAGCAAUCUGGGGGAAUUUGGGAAGGUAAUGGUUGCCAUCUGUAGUGCAUCUUUUCUAUAAAUGAGUAUUUUGAGCUUUUGUGCUGUUAGUUAAGCAACGUCAACCAUGCCUGAUCACUCUAAAACAAUACUUUGAGGAUCUGUAGUCAAGUGCUUAUCGAUUCUUCACUCUCAGAAGUCAAACAUAAAGCAAUGCAAAAAGAAUUUUUUAUAAUGACUAAUGUAAAUCAAAUAGCUGAUUUGUUAGAAA
rnacentral:lncRNA from 1 species